AAAAACAUCUCCUCUUGAGAAAUAAUAAUCAUAAGAGGUAGGCCCUGCCCGGUGCCUGUGGGUUAACGGCGGCCGUUCGCAGCGGUUUUAAUGUAGCGCAAUUUCUUGCCCUUUAAUUGGGGGAGGGUGGAAUGGGUUGACGUGGGAGAUCUGUCUCCUAAACAGUUAAUAAAAAUUUUCUUCUUAGUGAAAAGCCUGAGAUUUAUUUAAAAGACGAGAAGACCCUGUCGAGCUUGAAGACUGCUCAAAAUGGUUUGUAGUGGGAAAUUUAGUUGGGGCAACUCUGGAGAAACCAAAACCUCUAGGCAGCUAAGAAGCGAUCCAUUUUAGUUAAUGAUUAACAGAAGAAGUUACCGCAGGGAUAACAGCGCGGCGUCCCUUGAGAGGUCUUAUUAAAGGGGAAGAGUGCGACCUCGAUGUUGGAUUAGAAUUUCCUCCUGGUGCAGCAGCUGGAAGGGUGGGUCUGUUCGCCCCUUAAAAUUCUACAUGAUCUGA
rnacentral:rRNA from 1 species